UGAGAGUAUUGUGAAGUGCAAGUUCAUCAUAUUCCCAGAAGGAAGAGGAGAAGCCUGCUGACAGCCACAGGGGGAAAGGCAUUCCACCAGUUCUCAGGACUUGACCUACAGCUGAUGGAACCUGAGGGAGCCCUGUGGGUGCUGAAGGCAUGCCGUAGGGACAGGAGGGCUGGCUCUAAAGACUUGUCCCCACCCAACGAUGCGUUCAACUAAGUAAGAGUGUACUCCUAUUUAUUAAAAGGAAAGUUAACUGUGAAGCAGCCUAAGGCAGGUCCUUCGGGUGUUCCAGAAGACGUCACUGCUAUCAAAGUCUUCUGCAAUGGGAUUGCAGCUCCAUGCCUGUUAUUGCCCCUCAAGAACUUCCAGUGGGACAAGAUGUGGAGGUGGAAGACGGGGAUAUUGAUGAUCCUGACCCUGUGUAGGCCUAGGCUAAUGUGUGUGUCUGUGUCUUAGUUUUUAACAAAAAAGUUUAAAAAGUAAAAAUAAAAUAAAAUAAGAAUAGAAAAAAGCUUAUAGAAUAAGGCUAUAAAGAAAAUAUUUUUGUAUAGCUGUAUGAUGUGUUUGUGUUUUAAGCUAAGCGUUAUGACAAAAGAGUCAAAAAAUUAAAAAGUUUAUAAGGUAAAAAAGCUUACAGUAAGCUAAGGUGAGUUUAUCAUUAAUGAAAGAAUUCUUUUAAAUAAAUUAAGUGUGACUUAAUUGUGCAGUGUUUAUAGAGUCUAAAAUAGUCUACAGUCAUGUCCCAGGCCUUCACAUUCACUCACCGCUCACUCACUGACUCACCCAGAGCAAUUUC
rnacentral:lncRNA from 1 species